rnacentral:rRNA from 1 species
AAGAUUAAACUGAAGAGUUUGAUCAUGGCUCAGAUUGAACGCUGGCGGCAGGCUUAACACAUGCAAGUCGAGCGGAAACGAUGGGAGCUUGCUCCCAGGCGUCGAGCGGCGGACGGGUGAGUAACGCGUAGGAAUCUACCCAGUAGAGGGGGAUAGCCCGAGGAAACUCGGAUUAAUACCGCAUACGCCCUAAGGGGGAAAGGCCGGGAUCUUCGGACCGGUCACUAUUGGAUGAGCCUGCGUAAGAUUAGCUAGUUGGUACGGUAAAGGCCUACCAAGGCGACGAUCUUUAGCUGGUCUGAGAGGAUGAUCAGCCACACUGGGACUGAGACACGGCCCAGACUCCUACGGGAGGCAGCAGUAGGGAAUAUUGGACAAUG